AAACGCCGUAUACGCGAACCGUACGUACGGUGUUGUGAGAGGGGCGAAAAUAAUACAUUUAUUUUCCCUCUACUCGAU
rnacentral:autocatalytically_spliced_intron from 1 species